rnacentral:lncRNA from 1 species
CUAUCACAAAAACAUUCAUCCUGUAGCGGCUUAUUUGUUAGCGUUAUCGACUCAGAUGCUAGGGUAUGGAUGGGCUGGGAUUUUCAGAAGGUUCCUUGUUGAUUCACCUUACAUGUGGUGGCCUGAAAACCUUGUGCAGGUCUCUCUAUUUAGAGCAUUUCAUGAAAAAGAUUUUUCAGAAGGUUCCUUGUUGAUUCACCUUACAUGUGGUGGCCUGAAAACCUUGUGCAGGUCUCUCUAUUUAGAGCAUUUCAUGAAAAAGAAAAAAGGCCUAAAGGAGGUACUUCUAGGCUGCAAUUCUUUUU